rnacentral:lncRNA from 1 species
CAAGAGCGUUCUCUUUCGUCUAUUGGCUGCUGACUCUGUCGAUGCUGGCGAAGAACCGCGCCAGCCGUCGUAGUGCAGCCCGGGAGUUGUAGUUCGGUGGACGCCUUGCGAGCAUGCGCAGUAGGCGGGCUAGCGCCGGGGCUUGCGGCGCUAACUUCCGCCCCGGUGGCUGAGCGAGUUUGGGCGGAGUCGAGGGCGUGCGCCUUCGAAAGACACUCCUUUCACUGGUAUCCAGCAGAACUGUUUCCCAGUGGUAUGAGAAGUGAUGGAACCUAAUCCUGAGUGGAAGUGGCAACCAGUGAGCCACUUCAUUGAAGCAAAUUAUGGCUGCAGCAAGGAGCCCCCAGGCACACCCAUCCCCAAGCAAGACCUCCACACAGGGACAGAAAUCAGCCCUUCAUAGCAAAAGCCCUGACUAUGAAGCUUCCCGCCAGCACUUUAGGCAGUUCUGCUACCAGAAGGUAGCUGGCCCCAAUGAAGCUUUUAGCAAACUCUGGGAACUCUGUUGUCAGUGGCUGAGGCCUAAGACACACUGAAAAGAGCACAUUCUGGAGCUGCUGAUCAUGGAGCAGGUUCUGAGCAUCUUACCAGAGGAGAUCCGGACGUGGGUGAAGGAGCAGCGUCCAGAAAAUGGCGAGGAAGCUGUGGCUCUGGUUGAGGAUGUACAGAGAGUGCCUGGGCAACAGGCUCCCAGGAACCAUCCCCAGAAGAGGGGUCUUCGAGACCAGGAGACAGGUGCUCUGCUUUGGAUAGGAGGGGACCAGGGACCACUCCUGUGUGAGGACAGCCCUGUAUCGUGUGUCAGGAAGGACAGAUGCACUGUGGCCCUGCACAGAGGGCCUUCUACGGGGGUAUUACAUGGAAGAAUGACAGAAACGUCUCGCUGGGUAAGGAUCUGCAUUCCCUUUAGGUCCAGAAUGGAUGUGUUCAGUUGUUCACAGAGAGACAGAAAGAACCCAAGAAGGAAAGAGACACACAGAGACAGUGGGGAGUCUGUUAGGUAGAGGGAAAGAAGGAAGAAACAGGAAAAUAUAGAAAGUAAACAAGAGACACAGAGAUAGGAAGACACAGACAGAGACUGUGACAGAGACAGAGAGACAAAGAGAGAAACUGAAAAAGAAAGCAAGAGAGGGCUCAUGACAGGGAUGGAUAGCAUGUGUGACAAGGAGCAAGAACAAGGGAGGGGACAUGAGACUGAAAGCAGUGGGGACAGAGAGUGUGGGGAGGUCAAGGAAAAGGGGGAGGGGAAACAGAGAGACAGCAAGAGAAACAGCACAGGAGACAGACAGUAGUCUUAGACUGUGGGAGAAACAGAUGAGAGAUGAAUGAACGUGUGCUCACACACAGAGCUGUGCUAUGUCCUGAGCGGCAGAGGAGAGUAAAAACCAGAACAACCUGGCUGUGACAGUCUGCUUCUGUGCCCAGGCCCUUCAGGAGGCACCAAGAGCCCUUUUGCAGGGUCUCAGGACUGAUCUCUUGCCUUCCUCAAAUCAGUUCUGUACCACAUGGGCUGUUCCUCCUCAGAGCAGCCUCCCUGACCAUCAGAUUCAGAGACACGUGCUCUGCAGCUGGCUUGGGCUUUGAUGUCUCCUCCCUGCUUCUUCACAUGUAGGGUUUCCCAUUCAUGGUCUGAAUAUCAUCUUGGGGCUGGAUCAAAUAGAACACUGGGGACCCCCCUCCCCACCAUGGCUGCAGAGCAAGGAAAAGUUGUAAGAGUUCCACAAGUGAGACUGGAGUAGAAGCCCAUGAAACACCAGCAAAGGGGGAAUUAAAAAUCAAGGUGACACAAAAACAGCUGGCCUUGGUGGACCGGAAAGUGGCAGGUGCGCCCUGGGCUGCUGAGAAAGCCAGGACUUUCCUGUCUGUUCUGAGUGAGCCUAGGUUUUAUGAGAAACACCAGGUACACCAGCAAAGCAGCCAGCUAUGUGGGGAACACUGAGUUCUUGUGUAUAAGGCUUCUACCAGACUCAGGAGCACUGUUGAACCAAGUUCAGAAGCCUCCAG